CGGUUGGCCAGAUGUGGGUUCACGGGCCCGUGCGAUGGGAGGAGAAGGUUGCGCGGCAGUUGGCGGCUGGGGGCUGAUUCGGUGGUGACUCCAAGGAGAAUGCUAGGGUUAGCCAAAUUUGGACGUGGGAUGUUCAUUUAUAGGUAGUGAUGGCUAGAGUUUGCUGUUUGGGGACGUUUUUCGAUCCUUUGAUCGCGAUCGGACGGUCUGAUCUAAGAGAUGGAUUUGAUGGGUUGUGUUGGCUAUGUACAUGUGAUAGUACAAAGAAGAGAGGGAGGAUGCAGCUCGUGGCAGGAUUUUUAAAUACCGAAAAUGUCCGAUAAUUAAACCGGUUAUAGUGUCGUUAUAGGUUUAACGGUUUAGGUAUUAUACAGACUGAUUGUGAUGAAAUUUGGCAGGCGGCCUACGUACACUAAAACAAGAC
rnacentral:lncRNA from 1 species